GACGAACGCUGGCGGCGUGCUUAACACAUGCAAGUCGAACGGAAAGGCCCUGCUUUUGUGGGGUGCUCGAGUGGCGGACGGGUGAGUAACACGUGAGUAACCUGCCCUUGACUUUGAGAUAACUUCAGGAAACUGGGGCUAAUACCGGAUAGGAGCUCCUGCUGCAUGGUGGGGGUUGGAAAGUUUCGGCGGUUGGGGAUGGACUCGCGGCUUAUCAGCUUGUUGGUGGGGUAGUGGCUUACCAAGGCUUUGACGGGUAGCCGGCCUGAGAGGGUGACCGGCCACAUUGGGACUGAGAGACGGCCCAGACUCCUACGGGAGGCAGCAGUGGGGAAUAUUGCACAAUGGGCGGAAGCCUGAUGCAGCAACGCCGCGUGCGGGAUGACGGCCUUCGGGUUGUAAACCGCUUUCGCCUGUGACGAAGCGUGAGUGACGGUAAUGGGUAAAGAAGCACCGGCUAACUACGUG
rnacentral:rRNA from 1 species